rnacentral:rRNA from 1 species
ACUCCGGUGGAUAGAGAUGGGCACGCGCAAGAUUAGAUAGUUGGUGAGGUAACGGCUCACCAAGUCGACGAUCUUUAGGGGGCCUGAGAGGGUGAUCCCCCACACUGGUACUGAGACACGGACCAGACUCCUACGGGAGGCAGCAGUGAGGAAUAUUGGACAAUGGGUGAAAGCCUGAUCCAGCCAUCCCGCGUGAAGGACGACGGCCCUAUGGGUUGUAAACUUCUUUUGUAUAGGGAUAAACCUUUCCACGAGUGGAAAGCUGAAGGUACUAUACGAAUAAGCACCGGCUAACUCCGUGCCAGCAGCCGCGGUAAUACGGAGGGUGCAAGCGUUAUCCGGAUUUAUUGGGUUUAAAGGGUCCGUAGGCUGAUUUGUAAGUCAGUGGUGAAAUCUCACAGCUUAACUGUGAAACUGCCAUUGAUACUGCAAGUCUUGAGUGUUGUUGAAGUAGCUGGAAUAAGUAGUGUAGCGGUGAAAUGCAUAGAUAUUACUUAGAACACCAAUUGCGAAGGCAGGUUACUAAGCAACAACUGACGCUGAUGGACGAAAGCGUGGGGAGCGAACAGGAUUAGAUACCCUGGUAGUCCACGCCGUAAACGAUGCUAACUCGUUUUUGGGGCGCAAGCUUCAGAGACUAAGCGAAAGUGAUAAGUUAGCCACCUGGGGAGUACGAACGCAAGUUUGAAACUCAAAGGAAUUGACGGGGGCCCGCACAAGCGGUGGAUUAUGUGGUUUAAUUCGAUGAUACGCGAGGAACCUUACCAAGGCUUAAAUGGGAAAUGACAGGCUUAGAAAUAGGCUUUUCUUCGGACAUUUUUCAAGGUGCUGCAUGGUUGUCGUCAGCUCGUGCCGUGAGGUGUUAGGUUAAGUCCUGCAACGAGCGCAACCCCUGUCACUAGUUGCCAUCAUUAAGUUGGGGACUCUAGUGAGACUGCCUACGCAAGUAGAGAGGAAGGUGGGGAUGACGUCAAAUCAUCACGGCCCUUACGCCUUGGGCCACACACGUAAUACAAUGGCCGGUACAGAGGGCAGCUACACAGCGAUGUGAUGCAAAUCUCGAAAGCCGGUCUCAGUUCGGAUUGGAGUCUGCAACUCGACUCUAUGAAGCUGGAAUCGCUAGUAAUCGCGCAUCAGCCAUGGCGCGGUGAAUACGUUCCCGGGCCUUGUACACACCGCCCGUCAAGCCAUGG